rnacentral:rRNA from 1 species
UUUAGGAAUUUAUUUAAGGUUUAAUCUGCUCAAUGAGGAGUUAAAUUGCCGCGGUAUUUUGACCGUGCAAAGGUAGCAUAAUAAUUAGUUUUUUAAUUGAAAGCUGGAAUGAAUGAUUGGACGAGGGGGUUUCUGUCUCUUGUUUAUUUUUUUUUGAAUUUAAUUUUUAAGUAAAAAAGCUUAAAUUUAUUUUAAAGACGAGAAGACCCUAUAGAGUUUUAUAAUAAGAUUUAAUAUUAAGUUUAGGAAUUGAAUAAUUUUUAUGAAAUUUUUAUUAUUUGAUUGGGGUGAUUUGAAGAUUUAAUUAACUCUUUAUUUUUUAAUCAAUGAUUUUUGAAUAUGUGAUCCAAUUUUUUUUGAAUUUAAUAUAAAUUACCUUAGGGAUAACAGCGUAAUUUUCUUUUUGAGUUCUAAUUGGAUGGAAAGUUUGCGACCUCGAUGUUGGAUUAAAAAUAGUUUUUGGUGCAGAAGCU